rnacentral:rRNA from 1 species
UACGUAGGGGGCUAGCGUUGUCCGGAAUCAUUGGGCGUAAAGCGCGUGUAGGCGGCUCGGUAAGUCCGCUCUGAAAGCCCGGGGCUCAACCCCGGGAGGCGGGUGGAUACUGUCGAGCUCGAGUCCGGAAGAGGCAAGUGGAAUUCCCGGUGUAGCGGUGAAAUGCGUAGAUAUCAGGAGGAACACCUGCGGUGUAGACGGCUUACUGGACCAUAACUGACGCUGAGGCACGAAAGCGUGGGUAGCAAACAGG